UACGGGGGGGGCAAGCGUUAUUCGGAAUCACUGGGCUUAAAGGGCGCGUAGGCGGGUUCUCAAGUCAGGGGUGAAAUCCCGCGGCUCAACCGUGGAAGUGCCUUUGAUACUGGGGACCUCGAGGGAGGUAGGGGCGUGCGGAACUUCCGGUGGAGCGGUGAAAUGCGUAGAUAUCGGAAGGAACACCGGUGGCGAAAGCGGCGCGCUGGACCUCUUCUGACGCUGAGGCGCGAAAGCCAGGGGAGCAAACGGG
rnacentral:rRNA from 1 species